GACGAACGCUGGCGGCGUGCUUAACACACGCAAGUCGAACGGAAAGGCCCUGCUUUUGUGGGGUGCUCGAGUGGCGAACGGGUGAGUAACACGUGAGUAACCUGCCCUUGACUUUGGGAUAACUUCAGGAAACUGGGGCUAAUACCGGAUAGGAGCUCCUGCUGCAUGGUGGGGGUUGGAAAGUUUCGGCGGUUGGGGAUGGACUCGCGGCUUAUCAGCUUGUUGGUGGGGUAGUGGCUUACCAAGGCUUUGACGGGUAGCCGGCAUGCGAGGGUGAACGGCGACAUUGGGACUGAGAUACGGCCCAGACGCCUACGGGAGGCAGCAGUGGGGAGUAUUGCACAAUGGGGGGAAGCCUGAGGCAGCAACGCCGCGUGCGGGAGGACGGACUUCGGGGUGUAAACAGCUUUCGCCUGUGACGAAGCGGGAGUGACGGUAACGGGUAAAGAAGCACCGGCUAACUACGUG
rnacentral:rRNA from 1 species